UACGGGAGGCAGCAGUAGGGAAUAUUGGUCAAUGGGUGAGAGCCUGAACCAGCCAUGCCGCGUGCAGGAAGAAGGCCUUCUGGGUUGUAAACUGCUUUUGCCAGGGGCUAAAAAGUCCAUGCGUGGAAAAUUGAAAGUACCUGGUGAAUAAGCCACGGCUAACUACGUGCCAGCAGCCGCGGUAAUA
rnacentral:rRNA from 1 species